CACUGUCACUCCUACGGGAGGCAGCAGUGGGGAAUCUUGGACAAUGGGGGCAAACCCUGAUCCAGCCAUGCCGCGUGAGUGAAGAAGGCCUUAGGGUCGUAAAGCUCUUUCGCCUGUGAAGAUAAUGACGGUAGCAGGUAAAGAAACCCCGGCUAACUCCGUGCCAGCAGCCGCGGUAAUACGGAGGGGGUUAGCGUUGUUCGGAAUUACUGGGCGUAAAGCGCGCGUAGGCGGACCAGAAAGUUGGGGUGAAAUCCCGGGGCUCAACCCCGGAACUGCCUCCAAAACUCCUGGUCUUGAGUUCGAGAGAGGUGAGUGGAAUUCCGAGUGUAGAGGUGAAAAUUCGUAGAUAUUCGGAGGAACACCAGUGGCGAAGGCGGCUCACUGGCUCGAUACUGACGCUGAGGUGCGAAAGUGUGGGGAGCAAACAGGAUUAGAUACCCUGGUAG
rnacentral:rRNA from 1 species